UACGUAGGGGGCAAGCGUUGUCCGGAUUUAUUGGGCGUAAAGAGCGUGUAGGCGGCUUUACAGGUCCGUUGUGAAAACUCGAGGCUCAACCUCGAGACGCCGGUGGAAACCGUAAAGCUAGAGUCCGGAAGAGGAGAGUGGAAUUCCUGGUGUAGCGGUGAAAUUCGUAGAUAUUCGGAAGAACACCAGUGGCGAAGGCGGCUCACUGGACUGGUAUUGACGCUGAGGUGCGAAAGCGUGGGGAGCAAACAGG
rnacentral:rRNA from 1 species